UACGUAGGUGACCAGCGUUGUCCGGAUUUACUGGGCGUAAAGAGCGCGCAGGCGGUCGUUCAAGUCGAGUGUGAAAGCCCCCGGCUCAACUGGGGAGGGUCAUUCGAUACUGAUCGACUUGAAGGCAGGAGAGGGAAGUGGAAUUCCCGGUGUAGUGGUGAAAUGCGUAGAUAUCGAGAGGAACACCGGUGGCGAAGGCGGCCUUCUGGACAGCAUCUGACGCUGAGACGCGAAAGCGUGGGGAGCAAACAGG
rnacentral:rRNA from 1 species